AUAAGAAUAAGUAAUAUAUAUUAAUUGCAAUAAAAAAUUGUCAAUCUUCUUUCAUGUAUAAUUUUAGAGAUUGAGGGAUAGGUAAGUUUCAAAUUAAUUCUUUGGGUUCUUGCCUUUGCUACGAUUCUAACAAUGAGCGGAUGAGCCAACUAAAACAGUGUGGUCUCAAACUAUGACUUUUAUGAUUUAGCUGACGUAUGCUUGGCUUCAUCAUUAUCAUUGGAGAGAAAGAUUACAAUACACUGUUUUUUAGCACUGCUCUCUCACACCACGCUUUACUAAAAUCUUUUUUCUUUUAAAUAAUUUUCACCCCUGCUACAAUAUUUCUUGUGAUAUGUGUUAUUGUAAAAUAAAUAAAUUUUGAAUUGCCCAUCUCAUGAAUUGAUUAUUUUUAAAUCAUCUUUUUAUUUUUUAAAAAAUCUUGAAUUAUCCUUAGUUCUGUUCAAAGG
rnacentral:lncRNA from 1 species